rnacentral:rRNA from 1 species
UACGUAGGGUGCGAGCGUUAAUCGGAAUUACUGGGCGUAAAGCGUGCGCAGGCGGUUUUGUAAGCCAGAUGUGAAAUCCCCGGGCUUAACCUGGGAACUGCAUUUGGGACUGCAAGGCUUGAGUACGGCAGAGGGGGGUAGAAUUCCCGGUGUAGCAGUGAAAUGCGUAGAUAUCAGGAGGAAUACCGAUGGCGAAGGCAGCCCCCUGGGUCGAUACUGACGCUCAUGCACGAAAGCGUGGGGAGCAAACAGG